rnacentral:rRNA from 1 species
GACAGGAGGGUGCAAACGUUGUUCGGAAUUACUGGGCGUAAAGCGCGUGUAGGCGGCUAAGUAAGUCGGGCGUGAAAUCCCACGGCUCAACCGUGGAAGUGCACUCGAAACUGCAUAGCUAGAGUCCUGGAGAGGAAGGUGGAAUGCUUGGUGUAGAGGUGAAAUUCGUAGAUAUCAAGCGGAACACCGGUGGCGAAGGCGGCCUUCUGGACAGUGACGUGACGCUGAGACGGCGAAA